CUGGUCACAGUUCUAUAGUAAGAGGCUGUACUGUGUGACUAUCCUGGUCACAGUUCUAUAGUGAGAGGCUGUACUGUUACACUAUCCUGGGCACAGUUCUAUAGUGAGAAGCUGUACUGUUACACUAUCCUGAUCACAGUUCUAUAGUGAGAGGCUGUACUGUUACACUAUCCUGGUCACAGUUCUAUAGUGAGAGGCUGUACUAUGUGACUAUCCUGGUCACAGUUCUAUAGUGUGAGGGUGUACUGUUAAACUAUCCUGGUCACCGUUCUAUAGUGAGAAGCUGUACUGUGUGACUAUCCUGGUCAUAGUUCUAUAGUGACAGGCUGUACUGUUACACUAACCUGGUCACAGUUCUAUAGUGAGAGGCUGUACUGUUACACUAUCCUGGUCACAGUUCUAUAGUGAGAGGCUGUACUGUGUGACUAUCCUGGUCACAGUUCUAUAGUGAGAGGCUGUACGGUGUGACUAUCCUGGUCACAGUUCUAUAGUGAGAGGCUGUACUGUGUGACUAUCCUGGUCACAGUUCUAUAGUGAGAGGCUGUACUAUUACACUAUCCUGGUCACAGUUCUAUAGUGAGAGGGUGUACUGUGUGACUAUCCUGGUCACAGUUCUAUAGUGAGAGGGUGUACUGUUACACUAUCCUGGUCACAGUUCUAUAGUGAGAGGCUGUACAGUGUGACUAUCCUGGUCACAGUUCAAUAGUGAGAGGCUGUACUGUUACACUAUCCUGGUCACAGUUCUAUAGAGAGAUGCUGUACUGUUACACUAUCCUGGUCACAGUUCUAUAGUGAGAGGCUGUACUAUUACACUAUCCUGGUCACAGUUCUAUAGUGAGAGGGUGUACUGUGUGACUAUCCUGGUCACAGUUCUAUAGUGAGAGGGUGUACUGUUACACUAUCCUGGUCACAGUUCUAUAGUGAGAGGGUGUACAGUUACACUAUCCUGGUCACAGUUCUAUAGUGAGAGGGUGUACUAUGUGACUAUCCUGGUCACAGUUCUAUAGUGAGAGGGUGUACUGUUACACUAUCCUGGUCACAGUUCUAUAGUAAGAGGCUGUACUGUGUGACUAUCCUGGUCACAGUUCUAUAGUGAGAGGCUGUACUGUUACACUAUCCUGGUCACAGUUCUAUAGUGAGAAGCUGUACUGUUACACUAUCCUGGUCACAGUUCUAUAGUGAGAGGCUGUACUGUUACACUAUCCUGGUCACAGUUCUAUAGUGAGAGGCUGUACUGUGUGAAUAUCCUGGUCACAGUUCUAUAGUGAGAGGCUGUACUGUUACACUAUCCUGGUCACAGUUCUAUAGUGA
rnacentral:lncRNA from 1 species